rnacentral:rRNA from 1 species
UAGGGAAUCUUCCACAAUGGACGCAAGUCUGAUGGAGCAACGCCGCGUGAGUGAAGAAGGCUUUCGGGUCGUAAAACUCUGUUAUUGAAGAAGAACGUGCGUGACAGUAACUGGUCAUGCAGUGACGGUAUUCAAUCAGAAAGUCACGGCUAACUACGUGCCAGCAGCCGCGGUAAUACGUAGGUGGCAAGCGUUGUCCGGAUUUAUUGGGCGUAAAGCGAGUGCAGGCGGUCUUUUAAGUCUGAUGUGAAAGCCUUCGGCUUAACCGAAGAAGGGCAUCGGAAACUGGGAGACUUGAGUGCAGAAGAGGA